AUGGCGGUCGUGGUGGGGCCGUGGCUCCUGGCCUUGGGCUUGUGCUUGGGGCCGGCAGGGGGGUGGGCGCAGCUGAGGCUGGAGGAGGCCGGCGGAGGGCUGCGAGCGCCCGGGGACUCCGUGCUCCUCUCCUGCCUCUUCUCCGGCUUCCACUUUGGGAUACAUGGAAUUCGGUGGUACCGUCAGUCUCCCGGUGGCAGACUCGAGUGGGUGUCCUACAUCAGCUCAUUCUCUGGUUUUACAAAGAAGUAUGGGUCAGCAGUGGAGGGUCGAGCCACGGUGUCCCGGGACAAUUUCCAAUCCAAGUCUACUCUGUCCCUGCGUGCCCUGCGCCCCCGGGACUCUGCCCGCUACUUCUGUGCUGUGCACACGGGGACAGGAAAUCCAGCUGAGCUGUAA